rnacentral:tRNA from 1 species
AUUUAAAUAGCUUAAAUAGAGCAUGACAUUGAAGCUGUUAAGGUGAUAAUUUAUCUUUAAAUA